AUGGCACGUCCAAAACCAGCGCACCACGCCCCAUAUUCCCUCACCAACCUUCACCUCUCCACAUCCAUGGCCGCUCGUCUCUGCCUCUGCAUGGCGGCGCUCCUCGUCUCGCUGAUGCCAUGUGGCGCGGCGCAGCCGGCGUCGUCCAACGCCACGGACCUGGCCGCGCUGCUCGCCUUCAAAGCACAGGUGGAGGACCCUCUCGGCAUCCUCGCCGGCAACUGGACCGCGGCGGCGUCCCCUUGCUCCUGGGUCGGGGUCUCAUGCGACCGCCGCGGGCAGCGCGUCACCGGCCUAGAGCUCGACGGCGUGCCGCUCCAUGGCAGCAUCGCCCCGCAGCUUGGCAACCUCUCCUUCCUCUCCAGCCUCGUGCUCAGCAACACGAGCCUCGCCGGCCCCGUGCCCAGCGAGCUUGGCGGCCUGCCCCGGCUCCAAAACCUCGUCCUCUCGUACAACAGUUUGUCAGGUGCCAUCCCCUCCACCCUUGGCAACCUCACAGGGCUCCAGUCUCUUUACCUCGACAGCAACAACUUCUUCGGCGCAAUCCCAUACGAGUUUCAAAACCUGAGGAAACUUCAGUCGCUGAGACUGUCAAACAAUGACUUGAGCGGGCCGAUACCGCAUGGCCUGUUCAACAACACGCCCGAUCUGCGCGUUGUGCGUCUCGGGUCGAACCGGCUGACGGGAGCGAUUCCUGACAGCAUCGGCUCGUUGUCGAAGCUCGAGUGGCUGGUCCUGGAAGGCAAUCUUCUCUCAGGCCCCAUGCCUCCUGCCAUCUUCAACAUGUCCCAGCUGCAGGUCAUAGCCAUCACAAGGAACAAUCUCUCAGGUCCAAUCCCUGGAAAUGAGAGCUUCUACCUCCCCAUGUUGGAAGUGUUGUCCCUCAAUGAAAACCAGUUUGAGGGACCUAUCCCGCCAGGUCUUUCGGCGUGUCGGAACCUUGACACGCUCUCCCUCGCCGUGAAUGAUUUCACCGGUCCCGUGCCAUCAUGGUUGGCGACAAUGCCGAACCUCACAAGAAUUUACUUGUCGACAAAUGGCCUCACUGGAAAGAUCCCUGUGGAACUGAGCAACCACACUGAGCUUCUCCGUUUGGACCUUAGCCAGAACAAACUUGAGGGGGGAAUCCCACAAGAGUUUGGACGGUUGACAAACCUCAGGUUUAUGAGCUUUGCCAACAACCGAAUAACAGGUCCCAUUCCUGAUUCCAUAGGCAAUCUUUCUAACCUCACAACCAUAGAUUUCUAUGGAAAUGGUUUGACUGGAUCGGUGCCAAUUUCAUUUGGGAACUUGCUGAACCUUCGUCGCAUCUGGCUUGAUGGGAACCAGCUCAGCGGGAACCUCGACUUCCUGUCUGCACUCUCAAAUUGCAGGAGCCUGAAUACAAUCAGCAUGGCAAACAACACAUUCACAGGGAGUCUGCCAGCCUACAUUGGAAACCUUAGCACAGUCCUCGAGACUUUUAUAGCAGAUAACAACAGGAUCACGGGAAGCAUCCCAGGUACAUUUGCCAAUCUUACCAACUUAAUGACUCUGUCGCUCAGUGGAAACCAGCUGAAUGGGACAAUCCCCACACCAAUCGCUGCAAUGAGCAAUCUCCAAGAACUCAACCUUGCCAACAAUAGCUUGUCCGGCACCAUCCCAGCAGAAAUCAGUGGGUUAACAAGCCUGGCUAAGUUGCAUCUUGACAGCAAUAGACUCGUUGGUCCCAUUCCAAGUAGCAUCAGUAACCUAAGCCAGAUACAGAUUAUGACACUAUCCCGCAACUCGUUAUCUUCAACCAUACCAACAAGUCUAUGGCGCCAACGAAAACUAAUUGAGCUUGAUUUGUCACAGAACUCUUUCAGUGGUUCCCUGCCGGAAGAUGUAGGGAAACUGACUGCAAUUACCGAGAUGGACCUGUCGAGUAACCAGCUAUCAGGUGAUAUCCCAACUUCAUUUGGUGCACUGCAGAUGAUGAUCAAUCUGAAUCUGUCCAGAAACUUAUUAGAAGGAUCAAUACCAGACUCACUUGGAAAGUUAUUAAGUAUUGAGGAGUUAGACUUCUCCUCCAAUGCACUUUCUGGUGCCAUUCCGAAGUCAUUGGCCAACCUCACUUAUCUUGCCAACCUGAACCUCUCUUUCAACAAGCUAGAUGGACAGAUACCAGAAGGAGGUGUGUUCUCCAACAUCACUCUCGAAUCAUUGAUGGGAAACAGUGCACUCUGCGGCCUUCCAAGGGAAGGAAUAUCGCCAUGCCAGAACAACUCACACUCAAGGUCAAAACAACUACUGCUGAAAGUCAUAUUACCUGCAGUAGUGACAUUAUUUGUUUUAUCAGCUUGCGUGUACAUGUUGGUUAGAAGAAAGCUGAAUAAGCAAGGAAAGAUGUCACUGCCCUCAAACACAGACUUGACGAACUACCAGUUGAUCUCAUACCAUGAACUUGUCCGUGCAACAAGCAACUUCAGUGAUGAUAACCUGCUAGGGGCUGGAGGCUUUGGUAAAGUCUUCAAAGGUCAGCUAGAUGAUGAGUCUGUCAUUGCAAUAAAGGUUCUCAAUAUGCAAGACGAAGUAGCUUCAAAGAGCUUUGACACAGAGUGUCGUGCAUUACGAAUGGCCCGGCACCGGAACCUGGUCAGGAUAAUUAGCACUUGCUCUAAUCUUGACUUCAAAGCAUUGGUUCUUGAGUAUAUGCCUAAUGGCAGCUUAGAUGAUUGGUUGCAUUCAAGCGAACGGAGGCACAUUAGUUUUCUGCAAAGGCUUGGAAUCAUGCUGGAUGUUGCAAUGGCAAUGGAGUAUCUGCACCACCGGCACUUCGAAGUUGUCCUGCAUUUUGAUUUAAAGCCGAGCAACAUUUUGCUUGACAUGGACAUGACUGCACAUGUUGCCGAUUUUGGGAUUUCCAAGCUGCUGGUUGGAGACGACAACUCUAUCGUGUUAACGAGCAUGCCCGGCACUGUAGGAUACAUGGCACCAGAGUUCGGAUCAAGCGGGAAAGCAUCACGCUUCAGUGAUGUUUACAGCUUUGGGAUUGUUCUCCUUGAAGUCUUCACGAGGAAAAAGCCGACUGAUCCAAUGUUUGCUGGUGAGCUGAGCUUAAGGCAGUGGGUUAACCAAGCAUUCCAAUAUGAACUCUCCAGUGUCACUGACCGUGGCCUGCUGGAAGAUGUACCAAAGCACGGUAUGGAUAAGAUAAGCAAUCCCUCCGAGGAUUCCUCCGCCAUCUUGAAUGCUUGCCUGGCGUCCAUCAUCGAGUUGGGGUUAGUUUGCUCAAGGACUGCACCUGAUGAGAGACUGCCAAUGGAUGAUGUGGUUGUCAAAUUGAACAAGAUCAAGGCAAAUUACUGUGCUCAGAUAACGAAGUAA
rnacentral:rRNA from 1 species